rnacentral:rRNA from 1 species
AUGAACGCUGGCGGCGUGCCUAAUACAUGCAAGUCGAGCGAACAGACGAGGAGCUUGCUCCUCUGACGUUAGCGGCGGACGGGUGAGUAACACGUGGAUAACCUACCUAUAAGACUGGGAUAACUUCGGGAAACCGGAGCUAAUACCGGAUAAUAUAUUGAACCGCAUGGUUCAAUAGUGAAAGACGGUUUUGCUGUCACUUAUAGAUGGAUCCGCGCCGCAUUAGCUAGUUGGUGAGGUAACGGCUUACCAAGGCGACGAUGCGUAGCCGACCUGAGAGGGUGAUCGGCCACACUGGAACUGAGACACGGUCCAGACUCCUACGGGAGGCAGCAGUAGGGAAUCUUCCGCAAAGGGCGAAAGCCUGACGGAGCAACGCCGCGUGAGUGAUGAAGGUCUUCGGAUCGUAAAACUCUGUUAUUAGGGAAGAACAAAUGUGUAAGUAACUAUGCACGUCUUGACGGUACCUAAUCAGAAAGCCACGGCUAACUACGUG